rnacentral:rRNA from 1 species
UACGUAGGGUGCAAGCGUUAAUCGGAAUUACUGGGCGUAAAGCGUGCGCAGGCGGUGAUGUAAGACAGGUGUGAAAUCCCCGGGCUUAACCUGGGAACUGCAUUUGUGACUGCAUUGCUGGAGUGCGGCAGAGGGGGAUGGAAUUCCGCGUGUAGCAGUGAAAUGCGUAGAUAUCUGGAGGAACACCGAUGGCGAAGGCAGCCCCCUGGGCUAACACUGACGCUCAUGCACGAAAGCGUGGGGAGCAAACAGG